CUUAUUCACUCUUAUCUCUCCUCUCUCUUCUCUCUUCUCCCCCAUGUGACUGAAAGCCCCCUUCUUCUUGUUUCUUGCUCGUGAAAACCAGAAGCUAAGCAGAAGCCGAACCGAAUACGGCAGAGACAGAGCAGCUCGCCGAACCGCCGUCUGCUCCACCGCCCGCCGCUUUCCCGCCGUUCACGCGUGCGCCGCCCCACCGAGCUGCCGUCCGUCCCUCUCCUCACGCCAGUCCAGCGCUGUCCAGCUUCCAUCUGCCUCUGUCCGACCUCGUUCCAGCCUCCGUGAGCGGCUGAGCAGACCACCGGAGCCGCCGUGUAGCCUCGCCGGACCGCCGCCUACCUUCCCGACCCCUUGCCACCCCCAACCCUCUCUCUUUCUCUCUGUUUUGCAGCCGAACCAGCAAACCUAAGACUUGGUUUCCAAUGGCUUUGGGCCCGCUUUUGAGCCGUUUCCGGGCCUCAAACCCGAGCCAUGCUUUGGAGUUUAUUGUUCAUCGCGUUGCCCCCGUCGGAUUGAUCCGAUUUGCGCGCGAUUCCGGAUCCCAUUGAGGAGCUAAGGAGGAGGAAUCGGAGAAGGAGAGCUCUAAAGUAAAACUAGAGGAAAAGAAUUUUUGGAAAAAAGAAGAUAAUGGAGUAUAACUUGGAUGGACUGAGAUUUUAUCUUCUUUUGAGAACUCCCUUUUGAUGUGAAUAGUUAUGGAGUACUUUGAUUUGUAUUUUGUAUAAAAGUUUAGUUAUAAGUUUCAAUAUGAAAAAUAUGGCAUUGCUUUUC